AAUUAGAGUGUUCAAAGCAGGCCUUUGCUCGAAUACAUUAGCAUGGAAUAAUAGAAUAGGACGUGUGGUUCUAUUUUGUUGGUUUCUAGGACCGCCGUAAUGAUUAAUAGGGAUAGUCGGGGGCAUCAGUAUUCAAUCGUCAGAGGUGAAAUUCUUGGAUUGAUUGAAGACUAACUACUGCGAAAGCAUUUGCCAAGGAUGUUUUCAUUAAUCAGUGAACGAAAGUUAGGGGAUCGAAG
rnacentral:rRNA from 1 species